ensembl:lncRNA
UGUUGAUAUGGUCUUAUACAGUAUAUUGCCUUGCUAAUAACUUCAGUGAUUGAUCUUGGAGGUUAAGAGCAUUGUCUAAAGCCUUGAAUAUACUCGGGAGAAAACGCGGACAAGGACCGCUGCGAACAUGGACUACUUCUGUUCAUACUCCCUUCUGCAGUCAGCAUGGCGGACACGUUCCACAGAAGCACAGUAGAUCAGUUGGUGCCCUGGUAGCGCUAGUUGCCGUGUGGACCUGGCGCGGUCACAAAAAAGGAGAGCCACGUGGACCCUACGCGUAUCCCCUCUGAUGAAGAUUUUUUUGUCUUGCGUGUGCGGAAAAGUAUAAUCAUUGCAUAAGGGUGUACUCACACUAGGCCCGGAUGCCUUGUACUGUGCCUGAGCACGAUAGUCCCCACUGGCCUGUGCUCACACUGCUCCUAACAAUCCGAGCCGUAUGUUUACAUCAUACCAUAUAUUGAUUUGUUUGUGGCAGCCCGCUCAACCACUGAUAUAAUAAUACUAAUAAUAAUUAUUAUUAAAUUUAUAAUAACUGACUGUUUUUUUUUUCUCUCUAAUAUCAUUUUCAGAAUGGAAAGCAGAAAAAAAAGGAUCCAGAAAAGGCAGCUGAGACUUACAGAAGGGAUUUACUGCAACAAUCAGAAACAUACAGGAGUCUGAAAUAUGUAAUGGAUAUGCAUGAGAGCCCAGAGGAGAAAGAGCGUGCAGUUGUGGUUUUCUACAAGCAGAAUAACAUCAACUGGGCCAGUCCAUUUUGUGUGUUUUUGAAAGGUGAUCCCGCAGUGGGAGAUGGAGUGAACAGGUUCUUUUUCACAUUUGGGAUUUCAAAACUCCAGUCUGGAUUCAGUUUUGGCCUAGAUGACACCAACAAAAGUUUGCUCUUUGUUGGUGAGGAAGACCACCUGGUGCCUUCCACCUCUACUUUCCUGCUGGAAGGUGAUAUCUUUCAUGUUGCUGGACGGAUUAUUGGGCACUCCUUUUUAAAUGGGGGACCAAGGCUGACUGGAUUAAGCCAAGCCAUUUUGGACUUAAUUUCUGGAAAAGAAGACACAAACCAGCUUGCAACUCAAGACAGCCCAGACAUUGAUGUGAGGGAAGUUGUCACUCUGCUUACCGGCAAGGACCCCUUGAGCCCAGCUGAUAAACACAAUGUUGCCGAGAUGUGUGUGGCUUGGGAUCUGCCCACUGUUGUUAAUGACACCAACAGGAACUGGCUUGCAGAAAAGAUCCUUCACCAUUCUGUAAGUAACAUACUUUCUUAAGGUGCUUUCAGACCAAAAGUAAAGUGAGCUUUGGGGUUGGUGCGUUUACUGUUUUGCCUUUUGCCCCCCUUUUGCCUUCAAACUGCAUCAGUUUUUCUAGGUUCACUUGCACAAGGUUUUUGAAGGCUGACCUACUUUUGUCAACUACCCACUGUUCUUCUGUGGAUUUACGCUCUGUGGGGGCCAUACCAUCACUUCCAGGACCAGUGUUGGGGAAAGUUACUUUUAAAAGUAAUGCCUUACAAUAUUGCGUUACUCCCUAAAAAAGUAACUAAAUAUGCUACUUAGUUACUUUUUAUGGAAAGUAAUGUGUUACAUUACUUUUGCGUUACUUUCACGUUACUUUUUAAAUAUGAGCAGGGCUUGAUUGUUUUUAAUAUAAGAAGUUCUAUUUAUAGCAAAUGUAAAAGCCCUUUCACACCAAAAAGUGUAAUGAAUAAACCUCAGGCUGAAGGAAAAGUAAAUUCA